GAGCAUCCCAUGGCAGCGCUCGCGGUUUGUAAAUUGUCACCGGCUGCGUUGUAAAACAUCACGGUGUCGGAAAGCACAGUUUCUGUUAAUGGAGAGACAGAGAGACAGAGAGACAGAGGACAGAUCCCGGGAACGGAAUCGGCAGACUGGUGACCGUAGCAAGGAAAUCCCCCCACCACCCAAACUUAGGGCAAACAAGCCGGCUGCUCUCCCCCGGUCACUUCCUCCCUCCCGGUCCGGGAAAAGCCCACCCUUGCUGCACCAGGACCGACCCAGCUCGGGGAAGAACAAGCCGCUUUGACAGUGGUGAGCCGAACUCUGGUUAGCGCUCUCCCGCCAAACGCAAGCCCCCGUCCCCGCACACAGGACAGCACUGCCCUGUGCGUGUCCCUGUGCCCGUUCUGGCCUUUGGGAGCUCGCACGUGGAGGGUUUGGUCCUCCCCGCCAUCGCGUCUUCGUGGGCGCUCGCUGCGGGAUGCCCUCCCCCCGCCUGGCACCCUCGCCUUAUCCCUCUGGGCACACUGACCGUGCCCUAAUCCCGGGCUGCCUCCUGGGUGACUUCCUGGGCACAGAGACCAUGUGACUCCCAGAUGUCCUGCUCUCUCCAUGUUGCGUGCUCGUGCGUGCACCUGCCAUUGAGUGCCUCCUGGCUCUUGGGACCGAACAGUCAGGUCUCCGUCCCCUCCUGGAUCUUGGAGGACUCCGAUGGAAUGACCCACCAGCAGACACACGGCCUCCCUCCCAGCAGAGCCAGAAUGAGGUGACUGCGCUGUGGUGAGCUCCCCGCCAGGCUCCAAGUUCCCCAAAGCCGCCGGCCCCGCGCGUGUUCCUUCCCUGGUCCUCGCCCCGUGCCACGCACGGCGCCCUCACCUGCGAGAUGCUCCGGAAAUGCACGCUAGCAGCUGAAGGAAUGAAUAAACCCCCCAAAUGCAAUAAACUUAAAAAUCUCACGUCUCAGGUGUUCUAACUCUCCCUGGCGGCCGGCGAUCGUCGGCCAGGGCGCAAGGAAAAUGGUACGUGUCUGGGUCAGAAGACCUCGAGGCUUCGGCCAAGACGCGGUAGGGCCGUCAUGGCCACUGGGGUGCCAAGUGGAAUAAUCUGCCUGCAGAACCGGGCAGGGCGAGUCCGGGCAUCAGGGGGGCAGCGGGGAGUGGGGGAGGGGCUGAGACCGCAGGACAGGUUGGGGCAGAAGGCCCAGGGUCACUCCUAAGCAGUCAGUGGUCUGGGGACCGUUUGACUGCAGCUCCAUUGGGGUAGUCCCAACCCCGCCCCUCGCAAGCCCCCCCCACAUCUGGGACCACCCACUGAGCUGAUGGACUUCCACCCCCCCCCCCCAGGGAAUUCCCAACUCCUAGACCAGCUGGGAUCCUUUCUGUCUGUAUCUCCCUCCUCCCAGGACAAGGACCUCACUGCUGACUCCUUGGGGCCUUCAGUCCUUGGCACCUGCUGGGGACGACCCCCCGGUCUUCCAGGGACUCGGGUGCUCCUCGAACACCCGACCCCCAUUUCCCAGGCCACGAGACGGUCUUCUUCAUUCCUGGCAGGGACGGAAAUCUUGAACGCUGGGGCUUUCCAGACCUGUAUUUGAAAACCAGAGCUUGCACCUAAGUGACAUUUGGACACGUCUACCUCCCGGGACAGAGAUUUCCUGUCUAUUCUGUGGAGACGAUGCGACCUCGCCGCCCCCCCCCCCCGGGACAGACACAUGGACAGACGCGCCCGACCCCAGGGACACACACCCUCCUGCUUCACCUGUUGCCUUGGCCACGACCUUGCCCUGUCCUUGACACGGGGAACAGCUGUGGCCUGAACAUCGGUGGCUCAGCACGGAGCCGGUGCCAACAGCGGCCCUCGGAGGGAACAAGUGUCCCCUCCCGCCCCCAGGAGCAAAAGGACGCAAAUACCAUGGGCAUGAGACCCUCGCCAGACCCGAGCAGCCCGCAGGUGCCAGGCUUCGGCUACAAACUACCCUGUUCUGAUGAAGGCAGGGAAAACCUCCAGAAGGGAAAAGAGCGUUCAUUUUCGAGGUGGCGUUUUAGGGCAAAGCUCUGUGGAGCCGUCCCGGCCUCUUCAUGAUUUUGCCAAAAAGGAGGGCUGUUUUGGUCCGCCCUAAAGCACGCGCGGGGCAUCCUCUCACCGGAUACCUAUUCCGCUCCAGGGAGAAUGAAUCUCUUCCUUUCUAGAACAAUACAAAGGUGGGUAAUUAGUGUGUAGUCAUUAAUGGGUACUUUUAGAGGCGUUGAGCAGAGUUCAUAACAUCAUCCUGAAUAAAUCUGCAUUUAACUGAA